AAUCAACGCUGGCGGCGUGCCUCAGACAUGCAAGUCGAACGAUUAAGACUUCCUUCGGGAAGUGCAUAAAGUGGCGCACGGGUGAGUAACACGUAAGUAAUCUACCCUCGAGUGGGGAAUAACAUCGGGAAACCGACUCUAAUACCGCAUAACGCAGCGGCACCGCAAGGAGAACGUUGUGAAAGAAGUAAUUCGAUAGAGGAGGAGCUUGCGGCAGAUUAGCUAGUUGGUAAGGUAACGGCUUAACAAGGCUACGAUCUGUAUCCGGUCUAAGAGGACGGUCGGACACACUGACACUGAAUAACGGGUCAGACUCCUACGGAAGGCAGCAGUCGGGAAUUUUGGGCAAUGGGCGAAAGCCUGACCCAGCAACGCCGCGUGAAGGAUGAAGUAUUUCGGUAUGUAAACUUCGAAAGAAUGGGAAGAAUAAAUGACGGUACCAUUUAUAAGCUCCGGCUAACUACGUGCCAGCCGCCGCGGUAAUAC
rnacentral:rRNA from 1 species